CAUCAUAAUUUUUAUGGAGAGUUUGAUCCUGGCUCAGGAUGAACGCUGGCGGCGUGCCUAAUACAUGCAAGUCGAGCGAACGGACGAGAAGCUUGCUUCUCUGAUGUUAGCGGCGGACGGGUGAGUAACACGUGGAUAACCUACCUAUAAGACUGGGAUAACUUCGGGAAACCGGAGCUAAUACCGGAUAAUAUUUUGAACCGCAUGGUUCAAAAGUGAAAGACGGUCUUGCUGUCACUUAUAGAUGGAUCCGCGCUGCAUUAGCUAGUUGGUAAGGUAACGGCUUACCAAGGCAACGAUGCAUAGCCGACCUGAGAGGGUGAUCGGCCACACUGGAACUGAGACACGGUCCAGACUCCUACGGGAGGCAGCAGUAGGGAAUCUUCCGCAAUGGGCGAAAGCCUGACGGAGCAACGCCGCGUGAGUGAUGAAGGUCUUCGGAUCGUAAAACUCUGUUAUUAGGGAAGAACAUAUGUGUAAGUAACUGUGCACAUCUUGACGGUACCUAAUCAGAAAGCCACGGCUAACUACGUGCCAGCAGCCGCGGUAAUACGUAGGUGGCAAGCGUUAUCCGGAAUUAUUGGGCGUAAAGCGCGCGUAGGCGGUUUUUUAAGUCUGAUGUGAAAGCCCACGGCUCAACCGUGGAGGGUCAUUGGAAACUGGAAAACUUGAGUGCAGAAGAGGAAAGUGGAAUUCCAUGUGUAGCGGUGAAAUGCGCAGAGAUAUGGAGGAACACCAGUGGCGAAGGCGACUUUCUGGUCUGUAACUGACGCUGAUGUGCGAAAGCGUGGGGAUCAAACAGGAUUAGAUACCCUGGUAGUCCACGCCGUAAACGAUGAGUGCUAAGUGUUAGGGGGUUUCCGCCCCUUAGUGCUGCAGCUAACGCAUUAAGCACUCCGCCUGGGGAGUACGACCGCAAGGUUGAAACUCAAAGGAAUUGACGGGGACCCGCACAAGCGGUGGAGCAUGUGGUUUAAUUCGAAGCAACGCGAAGAACCUUACCAAAUCUUGACAUCCUUUGACAACUCUAGAGAUAGAGCCUUCCCCUUCGGGGGACAAAGUGACAGGUGGUGCAUGGUUGUCGUCAGCUCGUGUCGUGAGAUGUUGGGUUAAGUCCCGCAACGAGCGCAACCCUUAAGCUUAGUUGCCAUCAUUAAGUUGGGCACUCUAAGUUGACUGCCGGUGACAAACCGGAGGAAGGUGAGGAUGACGUCAAAUCAUCAUGCCCCUUAUGAUUUGGGCUACACACGUGCUACAAUGGACAAUACAAAGGGCAGCGAAACCGCGAGGUCAAGCAAAUCCCAUAAAGUUGUUCUCAGUUCGGAUUGUAGUCUGCAACUCGACUACAUGAAGCUGGAAUCGCUAGUAAUCGUAGAUCAGCAUGCUACGGUGAAUACGUUCCCGGGUCUUGUACACACCGCCCGUCACACCACGAGAGUUUGUAACACCCGAAGCCGGUGGAGUAACCUUUUAGGAGCUAGCCGUCGAAGGUGGGACAAAUGAUUGGGGUGAAGUCGUAACAAGGUAGCCGUAUCGGAAGGUGCGGCUGGAUCACCUCCUUUCUA
rnacentral:rRNA from 1 species